rnacentral:lncRNA from 1 species
AGAUGGAGAAACCACAAGGCGGCUCAACUGGGUUCCGGAGAGAAAAGGUACAGUGAUGUGGAAUCCCAGCCAGCCACAGGAAUUUGGAAGUGUGGAGCUGGCAUGGCAGCUUAACAAGCAGGGUGGAGAGCUCCAGGACAGAGAGUCUGCUGAGAAGAACAAGGCCCGCCAGUGCCUUGCUGGCAAUAGCAUGGAUAGUUUCUUUUUACAUUUCCUGCUGUGUGUAUGUGUGUGUGUCUAUGUGAGUGUCUCUGUCUGUGUCUAUGCAUGUGUCUGUAUGUCUUGUGCUCUUUUUUAGUUUCUUUUUUGUUUAUGUGUCUUCGUUUUGUUUUAACCUUGAAUGCUUGUCUUUUUUAUAUGCCUAUUUUUUUUUAAGAGAGAAAGAAGGUGUGGGGUUGAAAGGGUGGAGAGGUGGAAAGGAUCUGGGAGGAGACAAGGGAAGGGAAAACCAUGGCCAGAAUAUAUCACAUGAAAGUAACUUUAUUUUCAAUUAAAAAAAGAAAUUUCCCAUUAUGGUUAUGAGGUAGCAAUGAACACUACGGUUGGGGGUCAGCACAUGAGGAACUUUGUUAAAAGACUGCAGCAUUAGAAGGGUUGAGAACCACUGUCCUAUGAACUUCUGGCUGUCCUCAUGUUCCUCCACCCUGAGAAAUCGCAAUACUGCUGUAUUUACUGUCGCCUGCAAACCCUCCCUAAGGGUUGGUGAGAUGGCUCAGUGAGUGGGUUCUUCUAUCUUCCACCCUUCUUCACUCCUUCCCCACCCUUUCAACCUCCAACACUAAAUAGGAAAGAAAAAGAAUAGAGAGGAAAAGGGGGCCACCUUAUUGCUAGACUACUUCCUGCUGAUUAAAGGUGUCCAGUUCCUUGGGUACCUCUGAUCUUUGUCAUCAGGAUAUCUAUUUUCCUGUUGUUGUUUCUUUUUUGCUCAAGACUACUCAAAAAAAAAAAAAAACCCACAACCAACAGCCAACCAACAACCCAUCCUGUUAUUUAUAUACCCUCUGAAAAGUCCCCAAAAUGCCAAACAUUACACAAUUGCAGAAACUACCUGGUGCUGGCAAAAUCACACCCAUGCUAGAGCACAAGGCAAAUCUCAGUCAGCUGCUCUGGACAACAUGAAGCAGCACCACAGCCCACGCCUGGGAUUGAAAGAAAGCAUAUUCUUAUAAUAAAACCAAAACCCCAUAACUGUCACUACAAAGCCACAUGGCAGCAGGUGGUCAUCUUAAGUUCAAACUGCUGCCUCCUGUCCUAAACACAUGGAUCUCUCUCUCUCUCUCUCUCUCUCUCUCUCUCUCUCUCUCUCUCUCCCUCUCUCUCUCUCUCGGUAUGUGGUGAUUAACAAAUCCAGAUGGACCACUUGACAUUUGACACUGACAUGCUGUCAUCCUUUAGGUGUGCAACUGAACUGAGUUGUUAUAAAAACUGCAGGAGUUGGAGAGAUGGCUCAGGAGUUGAGAUCUGUGACUCAAGAAUACAGAGGACGUGUAUUCAGUUCCCAGAAUCCACAUGGAAGCUCACAUGUAACUCCAGUCCCAGGGAUACACACAGACACACAGAAACAUACAGACACACACACACACACACACAGAGAGAGAGAGAGAGAGAGAGAGAGAGAGAGAGAGAGAGAGAGAGAGAGAUCAUACCAGGGAUAUGUAUAUAUCCAGCCAUAUAUAUAUAUGAGAGACAGAGAGAUCCAUUCCAUAGAUCCUGUUCCUCUAGAGAGCCCUGACUAUUACACUCCUUCCUUAGUCUCAUGAAUAGGCUGGAUUAUAGGCAGGGGCUACCAGUUCUGGCUCAGCCGUUGCUUUCAAAGGAGCUGAAGUGAGACAUACUAACCUCUUUCCAGAUAACAGUAAUUAAUAAGUAGGUAUCAGUUUCUACUAUCAGUCAUCCAUUCUCUUUGAUGGGGAUGCUAGGAGGAAGUAUCUAUGUACCCAUUGUUGUCCACGCUCCUAAACCCACUCGUCCCCUCUGGAUGAUGGGCAUGCCCACUAGACCCACUCCAUUGCUGACAGUGUGUGGGGAAGAUUUUGGAGAAAAGGAAAGAUCCCCUCUGUAGGGCAAGGAAGCUGACUCAUGCUCCCCUGUGUCCUACAACAGUCCUGAGAGAGGCACUCUGUCAUGCCUUAGGCUAUAUAAGUACAUCAUUAGGAUUCCUCCACUGGGCAGGCCUGGCAGUCUUCAGAGCCACGUGACUGUGUGACGUCGUCUCUCUGUGGCUCCUGCCCUGAAUACCUGUGAGGAAAGUUACUGCCCAGAUCAAAGGUCCAGCUUUCGAUUUCAAGCUGAGACUAGGAACUCAAAGCCAGUGCUGAAACCAGAGAUGCUGAAAAAUACUUCUUUCCUGCUGGACCACCUCUGGAAAUCCCCAGCAGGUGGGAAGGCUCAAGGAACUGCUGGCUGGAAGCCCCUGGGCUCUGCAGAAGUUCCUUGCUCCAGUCCACACAGUGUGACUUCUCUAUGGCAGUGUGUGCCCUUGACCUUCCUGCCUCUCCAUAGAGGGCAGAGAGACAGGAAAAUAUUCUGGGAGACCAGGAGGAGUUUAUCUUCCUUUUGGUUAAUCCAGUCCUGCUGUGCACCUUGGAGAGAACCUAAGAAGCAGUAGGAAGUAGGAUUCACACCUGAAGCUGUGGCAGGCCUUCUCUGAGCCCCCACUGUUGAUGGAACACAGUACUGGAAGGGCUGCAGAGUCAGCUGUGGUUGGUGGGGGUGGGGGUGGAAGAGUCUCAACUUCUAGCAGAAACAUGAGCCUAGGACUAUGGUCUUCCUAGAACAGAGAUGGCUGUGGGGAUGGGGAGCAGACACCCACAGGUGCUUUGGGGGCUGGCUGUGUCCUGGUUUGUUUUCUGGGUACUGGGUCUAUGAUUUUGCAAUUAAGUAAUUACUUCAUUAUGUUAAUCAAUGUUAAGUAAUUACACAUCAUGUAUUAUAUGUUCAUAUACUUGAGUAUGUAAGUAGCCAGAGAAACACACACACACACACACACACACACACUUAAUUUAGUAAAGUCUGAGAUGUAAUUCAAUUGGUAAGUGGUUACCAAGGAUAAACGAAGCUCUGAAUUCAGUCCUAGGCAUGGCGAGAUGCAUGCUUUAAUCUCAGCACUUGGGAGGCAGAGGCAGGAAGAUCAGGAGUUCAAGAUCAUCCUCAGCUACAUAGGGAGCAUGAGUCCAGCCUGGAGAAGAAAAUUCUGGUAGUUCCUUAAAAUAUACAAAAAGGCAAGGCUAUUGCUCAGUGACAGCAUUUGCAUAGCAUGUGUGAGACCCUGGGUUCAACCCCUGCACUGAGAAAGAAAAGCUCAAAGAGGGUUGACAAGACCCCUCAUGGGGUAAUUGUGACUGUGCUUCGAGCCCGACAACCUGAGUUCAGCUUCUGGAACUCAACGUGGAGUGACUCCAUGACUGUUCUCAGGCCUCUCCAGUGAGUGUGACACACACACACACACACACACACACACACACACACACACACACACACAUGCUAAUGUGGGAUCUUGGUGUUUAAGGACAGCCUGAGCUACAUAAUGAGUUGAAGGCAAUCCUGGGCUAUCUGAGACCCUGUCUUAACACUCUUCUGAACAGAGAAUGAAGAUCCUUGGAUGGGAACGCUCCAAGCAGUAGUAUUCAUAAUAGCCCCACAGUAAAAACCACCCAGUGUCCUGCCCUGGGUAAAAUGGUAAUUAAAAAGUUAUGACCUUGAACUUCUGGUCCUCUUGCCUCUGCCUCCUAAGUGCUGGGAUCACAAGUAUGCACCACCAUGUGCAGCCAGGAGGGCUUUUGACAUUGCAACAGAGAUCUAGAAAUGCACUGAAUGAAUUUCAUAGUACCUUAGCACACAUGCAGCUUCAGGCUGCAAGGUGCGCACAUCUGUAAGCACAGAUACCUGCAAAGUUCCUUUUCAAGGUAAAGCCACAUUAUGCUGUGUUUGGCAUGUGGACAUAUAAUGCUUAAGGACCACAGUUCAUCCUGGUACAGAUUGGGUGGGCAGGGCAGACCCCUAAAGAUGUGCCCUGUUGAAGAUCAGGAACAGUCUCAGCCUCAUUCACUGCCCAUGCCCCAAGACUGCUGAGGUGAGCCCAUGUGGUGUUUAUCGUUAUGGAUAAAAAUGAGCUGGUACAGAAAGCUAAAUGGUCAGAGAGACAUUGUGAUGACAUGGUAGCCUGCAUGAAAUCUGUAACUGAGCAAGGAGCUAGAGUUUUCUAACGAGGAGAGGAAUCUUUUCUCUGUUGCUUAUAAAAAUGCUGUAGGAACCGGUAAAUCAUCUUAGAGGGUCAGCUUAAGUGUAGGGAGAUACUCAUUUUCACCUAGAGGUGGCCAGUGUGUGGGAUGCGGAAUUUUUACAUGACUUACACGUCUGGCAUACUACUUUUGGUACAAUGUGGCUUCAGAAGAGCCAGUGUUAAAACUGCUUGCAUGUCUAAGCAAAGAGAACUGCUUACAUAUUGGUGUGUUGGUGGGGAAUAAACGGGAUAACUGGUUUCUGUCACGAGUGUAGUUAUUAUAAUGAGUUAAAGUUUGGAGCUCAAUGUGAGACUGUCAUACAAACAAACAACCUGUGGACACACAUGGGCAUAGUGUGUGUGUGUGUGUGUGUGUGUGUGUGUGUGUGUGUAUGUAUGUGUGUGUUCCAGACAAAGCUGUGGCCCAAUUUACUCUACAAGGGCAGAAACAGUUCACAUUCCAUUACUUAUAAAGUCCCUACUGCUUUCUUUCAUUUUAUUUUAUUAUUUUUACAUAUAUGUAUGUAUGCAGGUAUGUCUGCUUGCUUGCUUGCUUGCUUAUUUAUUUAUUUAUUUAUUUAUUUAUUUAUUUAAAGACAAGGGUCUUUGUAGCCCUGGCUGUCCUGGAGUUCAUUUUGUAAACCAGACUGGCCUCAAACUCACAAAGAUCCACCUGCCCCUGUGUCCUGAGCUGGGAUUAAAGAUGUGCGCCACCGCCAGGCCUGCUGUUUGCUUUCAUUAUUUUUGCUACAAUUUUAUUUGUAUUUAAAUAUUUUAGCAAUGUAAGAACAAAUGUAAAAAUAAAGAUUCAGUAAAAAUGAGUUGCU